CACUCCUACGGGAGGCAGCAGUGGGGAAUUUUGGACAAUGGGCGAAAGCCUGAUCCAGCAAUGCCGCGUGAGUGAAGAAGGCCUUCGGGUUGUAAAGCUCUUUUGUCAGGGAAGAAACGGUGAGAGCUAAUAUCUCUUGCUAAUGACGGUACCUGAAGAAUAAGCACCGGCUAACUACGUGCCAGCAGCCGCGGUAAUACGUAGGGUGCAAGCGUUAAUCGGAAUUACUGGGCGUAAAGCGUGCGCAGGCGGUUUUGUAAGUCUGAUGUGAAAUCCCCGGGCUCAACCUGGGAAUUGCAUUGGAGACUGCAAGGCUAGAAUCUGGCAGAGGGGGGUAGAAUUCCACGUGUAGCAGUGAAAUGCGUAGAUAUGUGGAGGAACACCGAUGGCGAAGGCAGCCCCCUGGGUCAAGAUUGACGCUCAUGCAUGAAAGCGUGGGGAGCAAACAGGAUUAGAAACCCGUGUAGUCCCAU
rnacentral:rRNA from 1 species